UACGUAGGGUGCGAGCGUUAAUCGGAAUUACUGGGCGUAAAGCGUGCGCAGGCGGUUUUGUAAGCCAGAUGUGAAAUCCCCCGGCUCAACUGGGGAACUGCACAGGAAACUAGCGGGCUUGAGUUCGGGAGAGGGAAGCGGAAUUCCGGGUGUAGCGGUGAAAUGCGUAGAUAUCCGGAGGAACACCGGUGGCGAAGGCGGCGUUCUGGACUGCAACUGACACUGAAAAACGAAAGCCAGGGGAGCAAACGGG
rnacentral:rRNA from 1 species